rnacentral:rRNA from 1 species
GUGCCAGCCGCCGCGGUAAUACGUAGGUGGCAAGCGUUGUCCGGAAUUAUUGGGCGUAAAGCGCGCGCAGGCGGGAUAUCAAGUCUGUCUUAAAAGUGCGAGGCUCAACCUCGUGAGGGGACGGAAACUGGUAUUCUUGAGUGUCGGAGAGGAAAGUGGAAUUCCAAGUGUAGCGGGGAAAUGCGUGGAGAUUUGGAAGAAAACCAGUGGCCAAGGCGACUUUCUGGACGAUGUCUGACGCUGAGGCGCGAAAGCUAGGG